UACGUAGGGGGGCAAGCGUUGUCCGGAUUUAUUGGGCGUAAAGAGCGUGUAGGCGGCUUUACAGGUCCGUUGUGAAAACUCGAGGCUCAACCUCGAGACGCCGGUGGAAACCGUAAAGCUAGAGUCCGGAAGAGGAGAGUGGAAUUCCUGGUGUAGCGGUGAAAUGCGCAGAUAUCAGGAGGAACACCCGUGGCGAAAGCGGCUCUCUGGGACGGUACUGACGCUGAGACGCGAAAGCGUGGGAGCAAACAGG
rnacentral:rRNA from 1 species